rnacentral:rRNA from 1 species
CGCGGCCUAUCAGCUUGUUGGUGGGGUGAUGGCCUACCAAGGCGACGACGGGUAGCCGGCCUGAGAGGGCGACCGGCCACACUGGGACUGAGACACGGCCCAGACUCCUACGGGAGGCAGCAGUGGGGAAUAUUGCACAAUGGGCGGAAGCCUGAUGCAGCGACGCCGCGUGAGGGAUGACGGCCUUCGGGUUGUAAACCUCUUUCAGCAGGGACGAAGGGUAACUGACGGUACCUGCAGAAGAAGCGCCGGCCAACUACGUGCCAGCAGCCGCGGUAAGACGUAGGGCGCGAGCGUUGUCCGGAUCUAUUGGGCGUAAAGAGCUCGUAGGCGGCUUGUCGCGUCGACCGUGAAAACUUGGGGCUCAACCCCAAGCCUGCGGUCGAUACGGGCAGGCUAGAGUUCGGUAGGGGAGACUGGAAUUCCUGGUGUAGCGGUGAAAUGCGCAGAUAUCAGGAGGAACACCGGUGGCGAAGGCGGGUCUCUGGGCCGAUACUGACGCUGAGGAGCGAAAGCGUGGGGAGCGAACAGGAUUAGAUACCCUGGUAGUCCACGCUGUAAACGUUGGGCGCUAGGUGUGGGGGGCCUCUCCGGUUCUCUGUGCCGCAGCUAACGCAUUAAGCGCCCCGCCUGGGGAGUACGG